ACUCAAAAGGUUGUAAGUUGUGGUAAAAACAUAAAGGCAAAGUGUUUUCUGGAGAGAGGGGCACAUUUCCUUUUAUGUUGGGAAGUUUUUAUGUGCUGAGAAUGUAGCUGUAAAGGUCUUAUUUAUUAACUGUGUUUAUUGCCUACUGACAGGGCGAAAAGAAAAGCCACAUGAUCUGUGUUCAUGAAUAAAAAGCGAAAAUGUUGAUUACUGUUGAUUAAUGUUAAUUAAUAAAUGAUUGCUAGGCAAUCUGUAGUUCCAGCAUUGCUUGUGUCACUGUAUGAUGAUGGUGCUAUAUGACUUGUCUACAUGAUGAUGCUCAGUGAGGUCAGAGUUUAUUCUGCAGACAGAUAAUAUUACCAAGGGCGCUGUUUAGUUAUUUUCACUUUAUGUAUUUUUUCCUAUUUAUCUUUUAGCUCGCAGUAAUGUUAAAAAAAAUCACCUGAUAAAUGUAGAAGGCACUUUUAUAUUUUUGUAUAAAAUUAUUACUUUAAAAGGCACAGAUGCUGUGGUUGUUUUUUUUUUUGUAUAAAAUGCAGUGUCAUUAGGCAGAAGAUGUUUAUAGAGUUGUAAUGUAUUGAAAUGAUUACAACAUAUGCAUUAAGUCCAUGUGUUGUAUCAUCAACAAAUGAUCACAAAUACAUUGAAACUAUUAGUGUUUCAGUCAGCUGACUGGGAAUUCAACUGCAGUGAUGUAAUGGCCUUUUAAAUCAUUUAUACCCAGAGUAAAGUAAAAGAGGCUGCACUUUAGAGGAGAAGAAAAUCAAUGAGAUCACUAAUGAGAGAGAAGAACGUAUAGACGGAGAAAAAGAGGAAGACAGAGGAGGGCAGAGAAUGAGACAUGACAGGCAGUCAGGCAGAUGGAUGAUGAACCCCACCCAGGUCCCGGCUCUCUGCCUGCCGGCUCAGUUUUGUGAUAAGCAGCUGAAGCGGAAGUCAAGUAUUAUUUCAUCAGUACGUGUGAGGCAGGAUGAUCGUCUUUGUUAGCCGAGAGAUAAUCUGGAAAAGCUACAGCAUCAGUGUGGAAAUGAUACUCUUGAUGCGCCGUUAGGACUUUCUGAAGACCUCACUGACACCUGACAGACCCAGAGUUCUCCCAUGAAGAAAUCGGUUGCUGAUUUAUGACUUCAAGGAUUUUGAGUUCUCCUCCCAGGACUUUAUUUCUAUUUUGCACUAUUCUAAUUUUAAGUUAGUAUUUUCACUAACUAACAGCUGUAGUAAUUGUUGUUUUGACUCCAUCUUACGUUUGUCUGUAAUGUUUAAACUCUCCAUGCAGACAGUCAAACCUCACAGCUGAUGCUCAUAGCCCUGAGUGCCAUGCAAUACAGUUUUCUCUUCUCUCUUAUGUGAGAAAUUCUCUCUCUGUUUACCCAUCACUCAGACUCUUUUUGCAUGUAAGAGUGAAGCACUUGUGCUUUUGCUUUUGUUUGGCAGAACAGUGUGUGUGUUUGGCAACGAUUUUUUGUUUGUUGCCUAAAUUGGCUCAAUGUGGAAUUGGCCCUAGUUGAUGCCAGUCAGAGCUGAGACUUUCCUCUCUCAAGAUGGAUUGAUAUGUUAUUGGAAAAGGUAGGAUAACUUUGGAUGAAUGCCUACUCCUGAAUCUCUAUCAUUACUUUUUAACACAUUAUUGUACUUUAAAGAUUUGCAUUCCCGCAGCUGACAAAAACUUUGAGGUGAUGGACAUGUGUUUGCUGCACAAGUUUAGGAAAAGUACCUAAUUUUGACAUUUUAAGCUUUGGAUGAGAAUAAGUCAUGGAGGGUCUUGAGCAGCUUGAUGUGGUCGGUGAUAUUAGUCCAGCCUUGGAGGCUACAGAGGACUUUAUCCACUGCAUGGAUGGAGUACAGGGUCAAGGUCGCAGUCAGGCUCAAACAAGGAGCAUCCAGCCUCCUAGACAGUCUAAGCAACUGCAGGAAGUGUCCGAUGCUGCACUGGGGAAGCUGAGCUCCAGCGGAGUGUGGAGCCUCUUGGCAGGUGAACAGAAGGAGGUCGGUCCUUUAGGGUUGGCAUGGGCAGACAACUUUAGUGUACUAGGCCUUGGCCUGGGCCCUAGGCACGGUAAGAGAAGCCGAGCACGCUCCACCAAUGACUUGGCGGCGCACAGCAAAGAGUGUACAAUCAACGCCUCCAACUCCUCAUCCAACUCUGCCUUUAAGAAGGGACACAACCGAUCCAGAUCUGAUGUCCACUACCGCCCGUCUGCCUUCACGGACAAUGGACUGCCUACAGUGGAUGGCAGUGCCCUGAAGAACAUGAUCUUCAACCAACAUCAAGAAGCUGAUAAACAUAGCAGUAGCCUUGUGGUCAAGCAGGGUGAGAUGGAGCAGCGUGAGGGGCCCCGGGGCCGAUGGACACCCUGUCACGUCGAGCUGACACCAUGCGAGCUGCGGCUCUACAUUCUAGACAGUAGUGCCAACCGUCAGCUGGGCACUGCCUACUCUCUGUCCCACUGUCAGAAUGUCGUCUCACCAGCAACCUGCAGCCAACGUGGCCAGAUCAGCCAGCCCGCUGACCAGUGUACGCUCGAGGCUUUGUUCUUCAACAGCACACGUCUCCAGCUGAGAGUGGGCAGCCAAUGGGAAGCCAUGGAGUGGAGGAGACUGAUGUGGGAGAAAGUGCAAGCGGCCAGACCUUUGAGGCAGGAGAACCACCAGUGUAAGACCACUGUGAAAAACAAACAGGUUGCCAAAUUUCCUACACCCAUGUUGGCCUCUUCAUCCCCCUCACCGUCAGGGCUGGACACCAGGCCUGAUGGAGAAAGCGACACUCCUACUUCAGCAGAUCUCUCACUGUCCCUUCAGUCUAACUCUGGCACCUUAAGCAGACCCACCACUCUUCCUUUGUGCAGUCAGUACAGUGAGGAGGUCCUAAUAGCCGGUUUUCUUCACCAGCUGAUGGACCAGAACAACUGGCGGACCUUCUACUAUGUUCUCACCAGGACCACUCUCCAAGCCUUCCCUCCUGAGCACAGAGCAUCUGGGUCGCGGCCUGCCCUUCAGUACUCCUUGACAUCCUGUCUGGCAGUGAAGCAUGAGCAAGAACUAGGAAACUGUGACCAGUGGAGGGAUAAAAGGGAACAUUUCCAGGUAGUUUUCCCCAAAGAGGUGCUUCGACUUAGGGCAGACUAUCAGCUUAAGGCCGACGAAUGGGUGGAGGCCCUGCGAGAAGUUGUAGGAGCAAAGAAGUCUGCUCAAGAGGAAGCAGCAGAAAGUGCUGAAGCAGCACCAGCACUCCAGGGAGUGCUGUUGAGAUCGAAACCGUCUCGAGAAAGGAGGCAUCGUGAGGCCCAGAGAGCCAAGAGGCAGUCAGUGACCACCAGCUUCCUCAGCAUUCUCACCUGUCUGGCUGUAGAGAAAGGACUCACUGCUCAGAGCUUCAGAUGUGCAGGUUGUCAGCGUCCAGUCGGCCUAUCCAGAGGAAAGGCUAAAGUUUGCUACUACAGCGGCUGGUACUACUGUCAGAGCUGCCAUCAGGACAACUCCUUCCUCAUCCCUGCUCGUCUGCUGCACAACUGGGACACCAGUAAGCACAAGGUUUCCAAACAGGCCAAAGAAUUUCUGGAGUUUGUGUACGAAGAGCCUUUGCUUGACAUCCAGCAGCUCAACCCUUGUUUAUACGAACACUGUGAGCCUCUCAGCACCGUGCUACGUCUGCGCCAACAGCUGCAGUCACUGCGCGCCUACCUGUUCAGCUGCCGAGCAACCGUGGCUGAGGAUCUCAGACGAAGGAUCUUCCCCAGGGAAUAUCUACUGCAACAUAUUCACCUGUACUCCAUAGCAGAUCUGCAGCAGGUGAUUGAUGGAAAAUUAGCGCCCUUCCUGUCUAAAGUAAUCAAAUUUGCCAGCUCCCAUGUUUUCAGCUGCAGUUUGUGUCGAGAGAAAGGAUUUAUCUGCGAACUCUGCCAGAAUGGACAGGUCAUCUACCCGUUCCAGGAGAAUGCCACUAAAAGAUGCGACGGCUGCGGCGCUGUUUUCCACACGGAGUGUCGACAGAAGGCUCAGCCCUGCCCUCGAUGCGUUCGCAGAGAACUUCACCACAAGAGGCCGUCAUCCUUCUGGUCGCCCGAUGACGACAGCCCUGGGUGUUUCCACCAGCCCUUCCAAGACACCUGAACAACUCACAAAACACACACACAGAGUCACAAGCAGGCAUUUAACAGCCGUAACACUUAGCGGCUGCCAGGUUUGGAUGCUGGAUGAACCCCUGACUUCUUGAUCUGUGUGUUUCCAGGAUACAAUCCCCGACAGUUUAUGUCUGAGAAGAAGCUCAGAGAACCUGAUGGCUCGUCAGGAUUGCAAUUUGAUGUGUGUCUGAUCACAAAAACACGUACACACGUACACACAUACACACACACACACACGUGUUGGUUCUGUAUGUAAAAAGCAGGGAGAAAACCACUGGAGAUUUGCUGCAACAGGCUUUACAGACUCUUGUUGUUUUCAGUCCAACGUCUCCACACGUCAGUUUCAUCCCUCAUGUCUUCAUCACACCAUGAACUUCUGUGUGUUCACUUUCCACAGCAGGAGCCGAACAGCCUUCUCCUGAUUGGAGAUCACCCUCAAUGGAGAAGAAACAGUUUAUAGUGGACCAUAAAAAAGAUCAAUUUUACAGGAUGUUUCAGCCUGAAGUGAAAAUGUCUGCAGGAUCAAGAAAUGGAAAACCUUCUGGGAAAGUAUGGUUGGUUUUAGUCUUUGUUUACAGACUAGUUAAUGACUUGAAAGAAAAAGAUUAAUUUAUUGUUGUUUUAGACCUUAUUUUUCACAUUAAUUAAGUUAGUUAAUUAAGUUGCAAACUGCAAUUUAAAAAAGGGACCUAUUGUUAAAAGACAAACAGGCAUCAUGCUGAACAUUUACUAAUUACAUUUUUCUUGAGUCACAAAUUCUGAUUUUUCUGCACACUCUAGAGCACAACUACCUACCUGUGACUGCUACAAGCUUUUGGAAAAAUUCAUCCACAUUUCUAUCAUAAUAACUGGAAUAGUUUUCAUUCUGAUUUGAACAAUUUAAUUCUCAAAUUGAAUCCUUGUGAUACUAUUUGGAUUUAUCACAUUUUUGCCUGAUUAGAAAAGAGUGUUUACAGAACAUGUAACAGGCUGAGAGUAGUGUAAAAUCUGACAUCUUCAUGUUUACAUUAGAAAUUAAUAUAAUGUAUUUGAUCUAAAAGUGACUCCAUUCAUGUUGGGAAUUCUGUCUUAUUUUAAUGUAGCAGUUUACCUUUUAUUUAUUGAUUUUUUUUUUUCUUUUCUGAGUGACCACUUUAAAUGCGGUUCAUUUGACUGAACCCAAACUGAGGGAAAUGUUUGAGGCUAAUUUUGGAUUUAACUCCAGCGAUCGACCCAAGAUGUUUUACUUUUUCUCUCCGCUCCAUUGUUUCGUGACAUCUUCACUUCCUCACACUCGGAGUCAUUGAGUCGUUGAGUCUGCCUGAGUUUUGAUAUCAGUGUUUCCUGGUGUAAAUGUGAAUUUAAUACGCACUCGCUCAGGCUGGGCACAGUUUUCUUCCCUUUGACUGUAAAAUACCAGGGACAGUAAAAUACUGUAACUUUUCAUUGUUGCCUCUCCUCUCUCCCCUCUCCUUUCCUGUGUGAUUUAACUCCUUGCUGCGCUUUAUUCCUGCAUAAUCUAUCGAGCCUGAUAGCAGCUUUAGCUUUUAGCAUUUCUAUGCAACCUUAGAUGGCCUUUGGGACCCACUGCUUUCUCUUUGUGUGUCUGGAAUCACUGUUGUUCACAUUUGCUUACGUUCAUCAACACAGCUGUAUUUCCAUCUGGACCGAUGAAGGAUUAUAAUCAAAAUAUCAAUCUUAUAGUAAAAUAUCAAUAUUUUUCAUUAAUUGAUUUUACACCAGACAGAAAGUAAAAAACUGAGCUAAGCUGUCCUGCUGCGACCUCAGUGCAGAUGUUCAGCUGGUGCACUUGAAUGUGACAGAAAACAAAUCUAUAUUUUCUGCUCUGAAUUGAAUUUUUAGUAUAAAUAGAAAAGUAUUACAGUGGCUAAGAUGUCGGUUAAAUUCCAGACACUUUCUCGUAGACUCUGGCUAAAACACGACAACUUUUUUCAUUUACAAAUUUCAAAAUUUGACUAUCCAGAAUGGAAACCUGGCUGCUGCUUUAUUUAUUUUACGUUUAUUUAUUUUUUCAAUCAUUUUUACUGUGCCUUCCUUUCUUCUCUGGUAAACUGAUUUGAAUGCAGCUCUCAUUCACUCAACUUUCCUGUCUCUUCAUUUUCACAAGCAAUAAAUCAAGCAUUUACCAUUAAAAAGGAAUUAUGUUAUUAAAAAUGGUUGUGAUCCUGAACUGAAACCUGGAAGCGUGGAUCACAGAGAGCUGUCCAUCACCUGUAUGAAGCAGGUUUGGUUCUAAAGCCUGAAACUAAACAAGCCAGUAGUAAAAAGAAAUGCACUGAUGUGUCAGUUGUCUAUAGAAAACAUUUUUGUUCUUUGCAUAAUUUCUUUGCUGCAUAAGAAUAUAAGGGAUAACAAGUUCAAGUUCUUUGCUGAUGAUUAUGUUUGGUAAUUUUCAUUUGUGUGCUUGUUUGAAUUGUGUCAUGACUGUUUGGUUUAUUUAAAUUUGUACACACAAAUCAUACAACAGCCUUUUUUUGUCACCACUUAAAUGAUGUAGUGCUGCACAGUGAUGUGUCUCCCAAAACAAUACAAUUAUACGAAAACAUUUUAGACUAUUAUAGUAUACAGUACAUAUAUGCAUAUAUAUAAAUAUACACGGUAUAUAUAUAUAUAUAUAUAUAUAUGUUUAUAUAUAUGACUUGUAUUUCUUUUUUAUUUAUUAUCUAAUAUAUAUUUGUUUAAUGAAAAAGUACGUCAGAAUUCUCAUUUCUUUUGGCUCUACAUGCUUCAGUAAACACCUAAUUUGUAGGUUUGUGUGCACAAAUGACCAUGAAGAGACAAGUGUCUCAACUGCACUCCUUAGUUUCCCUUAAUGUAGCAUUAGCACUAGACUUGAAUGAGAAGCUGUGUUUUCAUCCACACAAUUCACAUUUGCUGCAUGCUGUUCACUUUGAUUCUCUCAUCCAGGAUUGUGAUCACGGCUAUCUGUGAUAGACAACGUCACAGGUUCAUUUAACAGUCGUCCUAUAACUGUCCUUAUUUUUAUACACGUGUCAGCAAUUACAGGAUGAGCAUGUUGUGUUGAAGGAGAAAAAUGUUUGAACAUCUUAGCGUUGCAGGUACGUGUUGAUCAUUGCAGUAUUUUUAAGCAAAGAAUAUAUUGUACAGUAUUUAAUCAGAGUAACUAAAACUCCUCUGAUUUGCACAUUUUAAGUUAUUAUUAUUGUCAUUAUUUGUUGACUCUUUUCAUUGCAGACAUUAUGCAAGCAGAGGGAGGUGUUUUGUUUUUUUUUAAAUCAGCCCUUCCUCAGGUCUGAGAGCGUUCACAUUUAUUCAGUUUACCACUGAUGCCAAUAAAGACGGAACUGAAAAAGUGGAACAAUCUUCCUUCGACUUCUUCAUCUUCUCCUUUGGUUUCAAGCACUUGACGGCAGAACAUGGAGUGUUUGUCAACAACGGACCCUGUGAAAGACCCUGGAGUGAAGCUUAAGUUAUCUUUGUCAUGACUAUGGAGAAGACUGGCGGUCGUGAUGAAUCAGAAAAUGACAAUGCACUGGACGCAGUAAACCACACAUGAAGCCACUUGUGGAGCCAAGAGUGAGAAACCCCUGAACUGACUCAGUGACACUUGAUUUUCAGGGAAGUUGAAAUCGUGUGGUUCCCAGCGGUCCUUGAACGCAUCACCACAGAGCGUGGAUGAGGAGCUGCUGCUGCUGUUUCACUCAGGUUCAUUCAGGUCCUGCUUAUCGGUCGGAGCGGACGCUGAUCUCCAGCGACACCGACACAAGUGUGACAGAGAAAAGUCGGGAUUUACAUCAGGCAGUAACAGAAAAA